GGCACCCAGAAAUUCCUGACGGGACAACAGGGCGCCUACCUUGGCUCCAGGAGCACCAGGGAAGCCAGGACCACCAGCAGGACCUACGGGACCCUGGAGAGAGCAGGCGGAUGAGAAGAGAGUAGACAUCGGAGUGCUGCUGUGGUUGCACCCAAUAAACCCUGCAGACUGCCUUGGGCUGCUUAACAGGACUUAAAGCACAGCAACAAUGACCUGCUGAGGAUGAAAUGAACUUACCGGAGGCCCUGCGGGGCCUGGCUGACCAUCGUUGCCUCGGGCACCCUGUGAGCAAGAAGGAAGUGACCAUGAGAGGUGCCCACAGGCCCUGUCCAUCCCUGCUCCCGGCCCACCCUUACAGAAAACGAAGGAGACACUGUGUCUUGGGUGUCCCAGGGCAGAGCACGAGGAUGGCGAGACAGAGUCUGGCUCUGUCGCCAGGCUGGAGUGCAGUGGUGCGGUCUUGGCUCACUACAACCUCCACCUCUCAAGUUCAAGCGGUUCUUCUACCUCAGCCUCCUGAGUAACUGGGAUUACAGGCAUGUGUCACCACACCUGGCUAAUUUUUUUAUGGUUAUUUUUAGUAGAGAUUGGUUUUUGCUGUGUUGGCCAGGCUGGUCUGGAACUCCUGACCUCAGGUGAUCCACCCGCCUCAGGCUCCCAAGGUGCUGGGAUUACAGGCGUGAGCCACCGCACCUGGCCCCUAAUCUUAAAUAAAGCUUAAAUCAUUUCCUCUUUUCUUCAACUUCAGUUCAGACCCCAAAUAUCCGUAACUUCAAGGCCAAGUGAUCAUUUAAAGACUGAGAGGGCCGGGCGGGGUGGCUCAAGCCUGUAAUCCCAGCACUUUGGGAGGCUGAGGCGGGGGGAUCACGAGGUCAGGAGAUCGAGACCAUCCUUGCUAACACGGUGAAACCCCGUCUCUACUAAAAAUACAAAAAAUUAGCCGGACGUGUUGGCGGGCGCCUGUAGUCCCAGCUACUCGGGAGGCUGGGGCAGGAGAAUGGUGUGAACCCAGGAGGCGG